rnacentral:ncRNA from 1 species
UACUCUAUUCAGCAGAACAAAAGCUGUUAUAGGGGCCAGGCUUACGAAACUAAUUGGAGAAGAACCUACCAUCAAGACUCUGCAGCAACACCGCAUCGAGAGCUUCUCCAAGCAGGUCCAGGGCUACGGAUCCAGUCACUUUAGCAACACUCACUCCAACAGCUGGUUAACAGGAUCAACCAGGCUAAUGACUGGCCGUAACUACGUACAAGCCUGUGCACUCCGGACACAGACCCUGCCAACCCGCGAAGCCGUCUCAAGGGGAAGAGUCGGCGCGAACACCAUCUGCCGAAACUGCGGGCUGGCAGAGGAAACACUGUCCCACAUCCUGCAGAACUGCCACCGGACCAAUAAGAUCAGGAUUCAACGGCAUAACGCGGUUCUGCAGGUACUUGUCAAACAUCUACGUAGGAGAAAAUGGAAAAUCCAAGAAGAACCAUACAUCCCCACUCCUACGGGCAGUGUCAUUAAGCCUGAUGUUCUGGCCACGGAUCCUGACGGGAACGUGUUUGUCAUCGAUGCCGCCUGCCCCUACGAGGGUAACAAGAACUCCCUCGUCAAUGCAGCAGCGGCAAAGGUGAGCAAAUACACACCUUAUAAACCCUCCAUUCUUCAUUAUAUAGGUGAGACCCCAACAACGGUCACUUUCCUCGGAUUCGUGGUGGGAGCCCGUGGCGCAAUGCCACCGCAGACACAACACUUCUGCAAGCAGGUAGGUCUUGGUAAUGGCCAAUUAGAUCUAAUGUCGGUACGGGCCAUAGAAGGAAGCCUAAAAAUCUUCCGAUUAUUUAUGGCCCUGUAAUAUUAACUCGGGUACGCACCCACGAAGUAUACGCAAGUGGUACUUCGGUAAUGCGAAAAGACACGGUGCUAUCGGACCUGACCUUUAUGGUAAGGACCCGCGGCACCAAGUCAAACAUAGCCAAAUGCCUCGUCAUCUAAUUAGUGACGCGCAUGAAUGGAUUAACGAGAUUCCCGCUGUCCCUAUCUACUAUCUAGCGAAACCACAGCCAAGGG